rnacentral:lncRNA from 1 species
CGUUGUUAAUGGCAAAACCAACCACCGUUACAACCAUCACUUUCCGAGGAAUCAUUGAAAACAAUGCACCUCCACUAAAGAGGAUACAAGAACAAACAAUAGACUCUCACGGAACACCUCUCACAAGAACGAAGGUGAAGAAAAAAAAAAGGUUGCGUGAAGAAGGAAAGCGCUAAACAAGAACUUAUAACAGAUGGGUAUAAUGAGGAUUUUAAAAAAUUGCCGGAUGUACCACCAAUUCUGGUGGUGCCCAAAGCAACUCCCGGAAUGUCCCCAUGCAUGCAAUUCUGCGUGAGUCAGUCCAAGCCAUUUCAUGUGGUCUGCAGUGAAGUGAAG